UUGCUUCAGUGGUGAACAUGCUAAAAUUGGAACAACAUACAGCAGGUCAGCAUGGCUUUUGCUAAGAAAACAAGAAAAUUCAUGAUACAGUCCAGAUUUUG
rnacentral:snRNA from 1 species